rfam:Salmo salar isolate Sally breed double haploid chromosome ssa22, whole genome shotgun sequence.
AACUCACUGUACUGUAAGUUGCUCUGGAUAAGAACAUCUGCGAAAUGACGUAAA